rnacentral:rRNA from 1 species
UACAGAGGGUGCGAGCGUUAAUCGGAAUUACUGGGCGUAAAGCGCACGUAGGCGGCUUGGUAUGUCGGGUGUGAAAUCCCCGGGCUCAACCUGGGAACUGCAUCCGAAACUGCCUUGCUCGAGUAUGGGAGAGGGAAGCGGAAUUUCCGGUGUAGCGGUGAAAUGCGUAGAUAUCGGAAGGAACAUCAGUGGCGAAGGCGGCUUCCUGGACCAAUACUGACGCUCAGGUGCGAAAGCGUGGGGAGCAAACAGG